rnacentral:rRNA from 1 species
UUAAGUACAUAUGAGCUGUCCGCAGCUGGAGUAUUUUAUUACCCUUGUCUUUUGCGCACUUGUUGUUUCCUGGGCGGGUUCGCUCGCCACCAGGACCACCAAAUAAACCUUUUUUAUGCAGUUGCAAUCAGCGUCAGUACAAACAAUGUAAAUCAUUUACAACUUUCAACAACGGAUCUCUUGGUUCUGGCAUCGAUGAAGAACGCAGCGAAAUGCGAUACGUAGUGUGAAUUGCAGAAUUCAGUGAAUCAUCGAAUCUUUGAACGCACAUUGCGCCCUUUGGUAUUCCAAAGGGCAUGCCUGUUCGAGCGUCAUUUGUACCCUCAAGCUUUGCUUGGUGUUGGGCGUUUUUGUCUUUGGUCGCCCAAAGACUCGCCUUAAAGUGAUUGGCAGCCGGCCUUUCUGGUUUCGCAGCGCAGCACAUUUUUGCGCUUGCCAUCAGCAAGACGGCAAUCCAUCAAGCCUCCUUCUCACGUUUGACCUCGGAUCAGGUAGGGAUACCCGCUGAACUUAAGCAUAUCAAAAGCCCCGGAGGAA